AGUGAACGCUGGCGGUAGGCCUAAUACAUGCAAGUCGAACGGCAGCACAGUAAGCGCUCGCCCUUACGGUUGGCGAGGGGCGGGUGGGUGAGGAAUACAUAGGCAUCUAAUUUUUCGUGGGGGAUUACGUGGGGCCACUGACGCUAAUACCGCAUACGACCUACGGGUUAAAGCAAUGGUUAAUCGGAGCUUGCGUGAUUGAAUGAGACGGUGUCGGAUUAGCUAGUUGGCAGGGUAAAGGCACACCAAGGCAACGAUGCGUAGCUGGUCUGAGAGGAUGAUCGGCCACACUGGAACUGAGACACGGUCCAGACUCCUACGGGAGGCAGCAGUAGGGAAUAUUGGGCAAUGGGCGCAAGCCUGACGGAGCAACGCCGCGUGAGUGAUGAAGGUCUUCGGGUUGUAAAGCCCUUUUAUUGGGGAAGAACAACUGCGUGUUAAUAUAUGCAUGUUUUGACGGUACCUAAUCAGUAAGCAACGGCUAACUUCGUG
rnacentral:rRNA from 1 species